GGGGUUGUGACUCAGUGUUAGAGCGCCCACCUUGCAUGUGUGAGGCACUGGGUUCGAUCCUCAGUACCACA
rnacentral:tRNA from 1 species